AAUCCAUGCAUUCAACAUUUACACAAGUCUUUGAAUCUCUCCCAUGCCUCAUACAAGUUUUCAUCUUCUAAUUGCUUAAAACAUGUUAAGCCAUUUCAUAUAUU